UGCAGUGGGGCACAUGUCUUGCAAGCAUGAGGUCCUGGGUUCAAGCCCCAGCACAGCAU
rnacentral:tRNA from 1 species